UUUAAUUCAAGAAUAACUAUGGUAACAUUGCCGCUUGAGAGCUGACAUAACUGUGCGUCUCAGAGGAGGGGCAAGGAGAGGGUUCGCUUAUGAAUCUUAUGUUUGCCAUGUAGAUAUUCUCAACUUGAAGUUAGAUGGCAUUAGGAACUGUGCAUUUCAAACAGCUCUUACCUCAAAGGAAUAAAAUGAUUUAUUCUGGAACUCACAGGAAUAAAUAUAACCCAAAAACAUACAUUCUGGGUUCCCAAAUCUGAACUCCAACAUGGAAGCUGUUGGUGGAGUUCUAUAGUAACAAAAUGAAGUCAUAAAUCAAAACAAGUUUCCAGUACAUUGGUGGGUACACCAGAGAUAGUGAUGUGAGAGUGGGAAAUCUCUUCUAAGGGCCUCAAUGCUGUCUUAGGGCAUUGUUACCUUUUCUGAGUUGGUGAAGACUAAUGGUUGGCUAAGUUAACUUUUUUUUUUGUUUGUUUGUUUUUGUUUUUUUUUUUCCCUAUUGAAGACAGAAUGCCAGGAUCACUGCAGAUAUGAGCAAGGAAUGACUGCUCUUGGGACAAUGGCUAAAACUAGCCCAAGAAAUGAGGCAGUAGACCAGAAUCAUCCCAACCCCUCCACACGGCUGCAAUUAUCACUCUGUCUUUGCAUGUGCAGUUGAUUUCCAGGAAUUCUCAUUUUUAAUUCAUAUGUAAUAUAAAAUUACAUCCCCUCUCAGCCUUUCCUCUUUAAUUAUGUGAAUUUCAUUCCACACGUGUCCUCCACUGACAGCCAUGUCUUUUCAGUUCAAUAAAUGUUAUCAAGGAUUCUUUGACUGUUCCUAUUGCAUCAACCUUAAUUAGCUUUUGAUUACUGUUAAUUUCACAGCAUUUUCCCUUUAAUAAGUUGCACCCAAAAUGCUUUCAUUUCUGUAGCAGCAAGUUUAAUUAGUUUCUGAGGCUUGUUUCGCUUUUGCUUCCCAUUUUUAGGAAGAAAUGUCAACACCCCCUUCUUUGUUUCUAAAAGAAUAAACACUUCUUACAACUUAGUGUUAACCAGGCCCUCUCACCUCAGACCUCUAAUUCUAGAGCAUAGUUUCUUGCCUCCUAAUCAUUACAAGAGGAAUGUGACCAUAUUCCCAAGUAAUUACAUUUCAUCCUGACCAUUUAAGAUAUAUUAUAUAAUUAAUCUUUUAUUUUUAAAUUACUUAUUUAAAUGUUUUUUAAAUGGCCAAAUGACUUAUUUAAAAUGGAUAAUUUUACAAUGGAUGUUCUAAGUGGUCCAUCAAUCCAGUUUAGCGACUAUUUUGAACUUCAUGCUCUCAAUGACUUGUCACAUAUUUGUACUUAUUUUCACAGAGAUCUGUGAAACCUUGGUACAGAUUGUCAUGGUGAGCCAAGCAGUGAUUUACAUUAUCCCUUAAAAUGGAAAGUUACACAAACUGCUUUUAAAAAUUUUAAAUAAUAGCCACAGUUGUUAGACAUACAAUUAUUCUUUUAUUUAUAUUUUAACAUGUGAUUAUUAAUAUCACUAUAUUAUAUAAAAUAGUAGACUAGAUAUAAUUAAAUGUAUAUUAUACAAAUCAUUAGCCAAAAAUGUUUAUAAGAUAAAAGCUAACUCUGACAUUUAUUUAUGUGGGUUGACCAAUGUACAGCACCCACAGAUUUAAGACUUUCAAUUUCUAAGCACAAGAAAAAUAAAGAAUAACUUUAAACUGUGCACAGACUUUAUAUCGUAGUGCUAGAUACUUCCUGCAUUUAGCUUUUGAUACCCUGCCUAAGCUCCGAGCAGACUGUGCUACCAGCCCCACCCAGAGAAUUUUGAAUUCGAGGAUGGAAAGCACAGAAACACACAGUUGUUCAGUUUCAACUUGCCUUAUUGGUUCAACUGCUGAGCACCUCCAAUCUACCUCAGCUAGCAUGCCCUUCCCAGUUCAGCACUAUAAAUCUGCAACUCAAUUUCAGUUGCUCAGCCAUCUUCAGUCCCAGCUCACGUUCCCAGCAUGCCACCAGUAGAAGUAGCUUGUGGCCACUCUGCUGGAGAUCUCAGAUGGCUGGUUGGCUUUUCUCCCUCCAAAGUAUGGCAACAACACUCCCUCUCUCUUCCAGAAGUCCCACCUAUUCCUUCAUCCCAGCAAUUGGCCCAUGGCAUCUUUACUGAUAGGUCAAGAACCAUUUGGGAAACAGAACCUUAGUAUCGGCCCCAUCUCUAUAGAUAUCAUUUAGAUACCAGCAAUUCUGAAUGUAUUUAUAGUAACCUGUAUUACAAUUCAUAUUGUGAUAUCAUAAUGGAAUACCCAACACGUCAGAGGGAUUGGCUUUCCACUGAAGCAAAGGAAAUGCUUAAUUACAGAGUGGAUUGAAUUCAAUAUUAUUAUUCUCACUUGAUAACACAAAUGCUUUAACAAUAAUAUUGACAAUUACAAAGCCCAGAAUUGAGUUUUACAGGUAAUGACUCAGACUUGAAAGCAAUUUCCUGUUAAGCUGUAUAAUACAAGGGGUGGUAGGGAGGAGAGAGAAAACUAGGGAACUAAAAGGACUACAGAGAAGAAAGCCGAGCACAUGCUCAAAGCUACAUGGCUUUUGAAUAGCUUGC
rnacentral:lncRNA from 1 species